CUAUACAUGCAGUCGAGCGGACAGAAGGGAGCUUGCUCCCGGAUGUUAGCGGCGGACGGGUGAGUAACACGUGGGUAACCUGCCUGUAAGACUGGGAUAACUCCGGGAAACCGGAGCUAAUACCGGAUAGUUCCUUGAACCGCAUGGUUCAAGGAUGAAAGACGGUUUCGGCUGUCACUUACAGAUGGACCCGCGGCGCAUUAGCUAGUUGGUGGGGUAAUGGCUCACCAAGGCGACGAUGCGUAGCCGACCUGAGAGGGUGAUCGGCCACACUGGGACUGAGACACGGCCCAGACUCCUACGGGAGGCAGCAGUAGGGAAUCUUCCGCAAUGGACGAAAGUCUGACGGAGCAACGCCGCGUGAGUGAUGAAGGUUUUCGGAUCGUAAAGCUCUGUUGUUAGGGAAGAACAAGUGCGAGAGUAACUGCUCGCACCUUGACGGUACCUAACCAGAAAGCCACGGCUAACUACGUGCCAGCAGCCGCGGUAAUACGUAGGUGGCAAGCGUUGUCCGGAAUUAUUGGGCGUAAAGGGCUCGCAGGCGGUUUCUUAAGUCUGAUGUGAAAGCCCCCGGCUCAACCGGGGAGGGUCAUUGGAAACUGGGAAACUUGAGUGCAGAAGAGGAGAGUGGAAUUCCACGUGUAGCGGUGAAAUGCGUAGAGAUGUGGAGGAACACCAGUGGCGAAGGCGACUCUCUGGUCUGUAACUGACGCUGAGGAGCGAAAGCGUGGGGAGCGAACAGGAUUAGAUACCCUGGUAGUCCACGCCGUAAACGAUGAGUGCUAAGUGUUAG
rnacentral:rRNA from 1 species